rnacentral:rRNA from 1 species
UACGAAGGGGGCUAGCGUUGCUCGGAAUCACUGGGCGUAAAGGGUGCGUAGGCGGGUCUUUAAGUCAGGGGUGAAAUCCUGGAGCUCAACUCCAGAACUGCCUUUGAUACUGAAGAUCUUGAGUUCGGGAGAGGUGAGUGGAACUGCGAGUGUAGAGGUGAAAUUCGUAGAUAUUCGCAAGAACACCAGUGGCGAAGACGGCUCACUGGCCCGAUACUAACGCUGAGGCACGAAAGCGUGGGGAGCAAACAGG